GAUGAACGCUGGCGGCGUGCUUAACACAUGCAAGUCGAACGAAGCAUAUACGACAGAUUUCUUCGGAUUGAAGUUGUUUAUGACUGAGUGGCGGACGGGUGAGUAACGCGUGGGUAACCUGCCUUGUACUGGGGGAUAGCAGCUGGAAACGGCUGGUAAUACCGCAUAAGCGCACGGUGCUGCAUGUCACAGUGUGAAAAACUCCGGUGGUAUAAGAUGGACCCGCGUCUGAUUAGCUAGUUGGUGAGAUAACAGCCCACCAAGGCGACGAUCAGUAGCCGACCUGAGAGGGUGACCGGCCACAUUGGGACUGAGACACGGCCCAGACUCCUACGGGAGGCAGCAGUGGGGAAUAUUGCACAAUGGAGGAAACUCUGAUGCAGCGACGCCGCGUGAGUGAAGAAGUAAUUCGUUAUGUAAAGCUCUAUCAGCAGGGAAGAUAGUGACGGUAUCUGACUAAGAAGCUCCGGCUAAAUACGUGCCAGCAGCCGCGGUAAAAC
rnacentral:rRNA from 1 species